rnacentral:rRNA from 1 species
AGGACGAACGCUGGCGGCGUGCUUAACACAUGCAAGUCGAACGGUAAGGCCCUUCGGGGUACACGAGUGGCGAACGGGUGAGUAACACGUGGGUGAUCUGCCCUGCACUUCGGGAUAAGCUUGGGAAACUGGGUCUAAUACCGGAUAUGACUACGAAUCGCAUGGUUUGUGGUGGAAAGCUUUUGCGGUGUGGGAUGGGCCCGCGGCCUAUCAGCUUGUUGGUGGGGUGAUGGCCUACCAAGGCGACGACGGGUAGCCGGCCUGAGAGGGUGUCCGGCCACACUGGGACUGAGAUACGGCCCAGACUCCUACGGGAGCAGCAGUGGGGAAUAUUGCACAAUGGGCGCAAGCCUGAUGCAGCGACGCCGCGUGAGGGAUGACGGCCUUCGGGUUGUAAACCUCUUUCAGUAUCGACGAAGCGCAAGUGACGGUAGGUACAGAAGAAGGACCGGACCAACUACGCGCCAGCAGCCGC